AUCCAGCUGAAGAGUCCAAAAUAGGACGAAACACGAGUCCUUGAU
rnacentral:hammerhead_ribozyme from 1 species